CCCUUAGACGUUCUGGGCCGCACGCGCGCUACACUGACCAGUGCAACAAGCAUCCGUCCUUGGCCGACAGGCCCGGGCAAUCUUUGAACGCUAGUCGUGCUAGGGAUCGAUUUUUGGAAUUAUUAAUCGUCAACGAGGAAUUCCUAGUAAACGCGAGUCAUCAGCUCGCAUUGAUUACGUCCCUGCCCUUUGUACACACCGCCCGUCGCACCUACCGAUUGAAUGGUGCGGUGAAGCCUCCGGAUUGGACAUGUCGGCCCUGCCGCGUGUCCGAGAAGUUGGCUAAAUCUUACCAUUUAGAGGAAGGUGAANUCGUANCA
rnacentral:rRNA from 1 species